rnacentral:tRNA from 1 species
AUUUAUGUAGUUUAUAAAAACAUUACAUUUUCAAUGUAAAAAUAAAAGGUAUCUUUUCAUAAAUA